GUGCCAGCAGCCGCGGUAAUACGGAGGGUGCAAGCGUUAUCCGGAUUCACUGGGUUUAAAGGGAGCGUAGGUGGCUUUGUAAGUCAGUGGUGAAAUAUUGCGGCUCAACCGCAAAACUGCCAUUGAUACUGCUUAGCUUGAAUCACGUCGAGGUGGAUGGAAUAAUACAUGUAGCGGUGAAAUGCUUAGAUAUGUAUUAGAACACCGAUUGCGAAGGCAGUUCACUAGGCGUGUAUUGACACUGAGGCUCGAAAGCGUGGGGAUCAAACAGGAUUAGAAACCCUUGUAGUCC
rnacentral:rRNA from 1 species